CUCUCACAUAAGAGCACUGCUCUUGGUCAUUUCGUGUUAUUCUCACAACCUUAUGAAGUUACUGUCCUGUGCAGUUUUAAUUGGGGAUGUUUCUCUGAGAAAGUUCUGCUUUGCUUUCCCCUGUAAGGCACACUUCUCGGAGUGCUUGAUUGCUGCAGUUCCCUAUUGCAUGUACAGGCAUCGGGCUCCUACGACAUCAUGUGUGAAAUGGCUCUUGUUUGACCAAUCUUAGGUGAUGUAGAACAAAGGCUUUGGAGACUGCUAUGGGAAUUGGUGACAAGAUGAUGGAUCAGUUUCACCGUAUUGGCUUGUUGAUCCAAAAGCCCUUAAAGUAGAUAUUGGCAUUUGUCAUUCAGCUUUGGACCCCUCCAGACUCCUGCUGCUGAUUAGUCAAAUAUUUCACCUCUUCGUAAUUAAUGUCUUAACUGCGGAGCCUCUCUGGGGAGCAAACUUUUGCAACACCACAAAGAAGUGUUACUUGGUACCAGUUGAGUGAGGAGAAGGAAGGAGCAUAUGGGAAAAGGCGGAGGAAUCAAUGACAAUGUUUGAACAGCUUAACCCUGUUGGCCCUUGCAUGUUAAUAGAUUACUGAUGCAUCCCUUCCCCGGCAGGAGGAAAUUAGUAUGAUUAGCAUUUUCUCUUUAUUGACUGGUGAAUCACAAAUUGGAAAAAUGUUUACAUGCAUUUUUGUUUAUUCCUUUGAAAAAUAUUGACAGCCGCGGUGGGACCAGGGUAACCUUUCCUACCCUUUUGUACUUAACUGCCAAUGUUUGUUUCCUGGGAGAAGUUUUCAUAAUAGAUUUACGCUGCUUAGAGCCUUUUUUCUCAUAAGGUAUUAAGGAGUACACUUUAAGUAAAAAUGCCAUGCUUUCAGUUCAGAAAAAGAGCCAGGGCACUUCAAAGAAGAUGGAGCAAGAUAAGUCUAUUAGCUGCUAUUAGCCAUGAUAAUAGACCAUGUUCAGAAGCAGGGUCUCUCUGAAUGUCAGUUGCUGGGGUGGAGCAAACUAUGGGGAAGGGCUCUCUAGCCUUCAUGCCAUGUCCCUACGGUUUUUGGAAGCAUGUAACCAUGUUUUUGGAAGCAAGCCACUGUUGGAAACAGGAUGCUAGACUAAUUGGGUCUUCUGGUCUGAUUCAGCAGGGCUCCUCAUCUUUAUCUGAGAUUUUAUUUGUACAUACGUAUGUAUGUAUGUAUGUAUGUAUGUAUAAAUUUGAACUUGGGUCUCUGCAGUCCUAAUCCAAUACUCUAAUCACUAAACCUUGCUGCUUCUCUAAGAUUAUGUAUAAUCUUAGCACCCAAAUGAACCAAGAAGCAAGACUUGGCAAAAUAUCCUGUAGCACUGGCUUAUUUCUUUAUUUUACAUCUAAGAGGCUUCUUGUUCUUUUUUUCUAUUGAUGUAAAAGUGUUCUCUUGCCAGACACUAGGAAGGACGGAGCAAUGGGGAAAAAGCAUCUUAUGACCCCUAUCUUAAAUAUUUGCAUCAGCACAUUCUUCUGCUGUGCUCUUGUAACAUCUCAGUUAUGGCAACUUAAAUUUCAAACAUGAUCUAAGGGAAGUGUUGGAACAAGACAAUGGAACAAGACAGUGAAAGAUUUUCUUGCCCCUGAAGAAAAAUACUCAUAAAGUGUGUUGGGCAUAUU